rnacentral:rRNA from 1 species
CCUACGGGAGGCAGCAGUAGGGAAUCUUGCUCAAUGGGCGAAAGUCUGAACCAGCAACGCCGCGUGAAGGAUGAAGGUUUUCGGAUUGUAAACCCCUUUUGUUAGAGAAGAUAAUGACUGUAAGUGACGAAUUAGCACCGUCGCACUCCGUUCCAGCAGCCGCGGUACUACGGAGGGUGUAGCCGUUACGCGGAAUCACUGGGCGUAAAGAGCGCGUAGGCGGGUUAGCAAGUCAGGUGGCAAAUGCUAUGGCUUAACCAUAGAAUUGCAUUUGAAACUGUUAUUCUAGAGUAUGGGAGAGGUAGGUGGAAUUCUUGGUGUAGGGGUAAAAUGCGUAGAUAUCAAGAGGAAUACUGAUUGCGAAGGCGACCUGCUAGAACGUAACUGACGCUGAUGCGCGAAAGCGUGGGGAGCAAACAGGAUUAGAUACCCGUGUAGUC